CCAAUAGCGUAUAUUAAAGUUGUUGCAGUUAAAAAGCUCGUAGUUGAAUUUUAGGCUUGGCCGGGCGGUCCGUCUUUGGCGAGUACUGUUCUGUGUCGGGUCUUUCUUUCUGGUUAACCGGUGUGCUCUUUAUUGAGCGUGCCGUGGGAGCCAGGACCAUUACCUUGAAAAAAUUAGAGUGUUUAAAGCGGGCAUUUGCUUGAAUAGAUUAGCAUGGAAUAAUAAAAUAGGACGUUGGUUCUAUUUUGUUGGUCUAAGACCACCGUAAUGAUUAAGAGGGAUAGUUGGGGGAAUUAGUAUUCAAUUGUGAGAGGUGAAAUUCUUGGAUUUAUUGAAGACUAACUAUUGCGAAAGCAUCUGCCAAGGAUGUUUUCAUUAAUCAAGAACGAAAGUUAGGGGAUCGAAGACGAUCAGAUACCGUCGUAGUCUUAACCAUAAACUAUGCCGACUAGGAAUCGGGCGUCGUUAUUUUCACGACUCGCUCGGCGCCUUAUG
rnacentral:rRNA from 1 species